AGUGAACGCUGGCGGUAGGCCUAACACAUGCAAGUCGAACGGCAGCACAGUAAGAGCUUGCUCUUACGGGUGGCGAGUGGCGGACGGGUGAGGAAUACAUCGGAAUCUACUUUUUCGUGGGGGAUAACGUAGGGAACUUACGCUAAUACCGCAUACGACCUACGGGUGAAAGCAGGGGAUCUUCGGAUCUUGCGCGAUUGAAUGAGCCGAUGUCGGAUUAGCUAGUUGGCGGGGUAAAGGCCCACCAAGGCGACGAUCCGUAGCUGGUCUGAGAGGAUGAUCAGCCACACUGGAACUGAGACACGGUCCAGACUCCUACGGGAGGCAGCAGUGGGGAAUAUUGGACAAUGGGCGCAAGCCUGAUCCAGCCAUACCGCGUGGGUGAAGAAGGCCUUCGGGUUGUAAAGCCCUUUUGUUGGGAAAGAAAAGCAGCAGGUUAAUACCCCGCUGUUCUGACGGUACCCAAAGAAUAAGCACCGGCUAACUUCGUG
rnacentral:rRNA from 1 species